rnacentral:rRNA from 1 species
GCACUCCCGGGGCGUCUCUAUCUCAUUGCGAGAGGAGGCGCACCUAGAGCGUACACGCUGAUACCCGAAAGAUGGUGAACUAUGCCUGGCCAGGACGAAGCCAGGGGAAACCCUGGUGGAGGUCCGCAGCGAUUCUGACGUGCAAAUCGAUCGUCGGAGCUGGGUUUAGGGGCGAAAGACCAAUCGAACCAUCUAGUAGCUGGUUCCCUCUGAAGUUUCCCUCAGGAUAGCUUGCGCUCGGAAACAACGAGUCUCAUCCGGUAGAGCGAAUGAUUAGAGGCCUUGGGGUCGAAACGACCUCAACCUAUUCUCAAACUCCAAAUAGAUGAGAACCCCGGCUUUCUUGAACUCUGUUUAUGAAGCCGGGGGCUCGGAUCAGAGUGCCAAGUGGGCCAAUUUUGGUAAGCAGAACUGGCGCUGUGGGAUGAACCAAACGCGGAGUUAAGGCGCCUCAAUCGACGCUCAUGUGAAACCAUGAAAGGCGUUGGUUGCUUAAGAAAACAG